rnacentral:rRNA from 1 species
AUUGAACGCUGGCGGCAUGCCUUACACAUGCAAGUCGAACGGUGAAGGUGGAGCUUGCUCCGCCGGAUCAGUGGCGAACGGGUGAGUAACACGUGGGCAACCUGCCCCUAACUUUGGGAUAACUACUCGAAAGAGUAGCUAAUACCGGAUACGAAGUCUGUAGGCAUCUACGGAUUUGGAAAGUUUUUCGGUUAGGGAUGGGCCCGCGGCCUAUCAGCUUGUUGGUGAGGUAGUGGCUCACCAAGGCGACGACGGGUAGCCGGCCUGAGAGGGCGACCGGCCACACUGGGACUGCGACACGGCCCAGACUCCUACGGGAGGCAGCAGUGGGGAAUAUUGCGCAAUGGGCGAAAGCCUGACGCAGCAACGCCGCGUGCGGGAUGAAGGCCUUCGGGUUGUAAACCGCUUUCAGCAGGGAAGAAGCGAAAGUGACGGUACCUGCAGAAGAAGCACCGGCUAACUACGUGCCAGCCGCCGCAGUAA